rnacentral:rRNA from 1 species
UGAGUGGUACUAGAUAGUGCUGAACUGUUUUCAAUGUAUUAGGUUUAUCCAACUCAUUGACCAGUAAAGUAUUUGUUUAUUACACAGGCUCGGCCUUACAACAACAAACAAAGUUUGACCUCAAAUCAGGUAGGACUACCCGCUGAACUUAAGCAUAUCAAUAAGCGGAGGAAAAGAAACCAACAGGGAUUGCCUUAGUAACGGCGAGUGAAGCGGCAAAAGCUCAAAUUUGAAAUCUAGCACUUUCAGUGUUCGAGUUGUAAUUUGAAGAAGGUAACUUUGGAAUUGGCUCUUGUCUAUGUUCCUUGGAACAGGACGUCACAGAGGGUGAGAAUCCCGUGCGAUGAGAUGUCCAAUUCUAUGUAAAGUGCUUUCGAAGAGUCGAGUUGUUUGGGAAUGCAGCUCUAAGUGGGUGGUAAAUUCCAUCUAAAGCUAAAUAUUGGCGAGAGACCGAUAGCGAACAAGUACAGUGAUGGAAAGAUGAAAAGAACUUUGAAAAGAGAGUGAAAAAGUACGUGAAAUUGUUGAAAGGGAAGGGCUUGAGAUCAGACUUGGUAUUUUGUGUUCCUUAUCCUUCUUGGAUUAGGUUCCUCACAGCUUACCGGGCCAGCAUCGGUUUGGAUGGCAGGAUAAUGACAUUGGAAUGUAGCUUUGCUUCGGUGAAGUGUUG